ensembl:snRNA
GAAUGCUAGAGAAAGACACACUGUCUGCACUUCCCUUGACAAGAAUGGAAGAGGCACUUGAACCUGUCAACAAGCAUACAAUUAAGCCAUUGCAUCUACAUUGUGACAUCUGACCAUCGCAUUUU